GAUGAACGCUGGCGGCGUGCCUAAUACAUGCAAGUCGAGCGAACAGACGAGGAGCUUGCUCCUCUGACGUUAGCGGCGGACGGGUGAGUAACACGUGGAUAACCUACCUAUAAGACUGGGAUAACUUCGGGAAACCGGAGCUAAUACCGGAUAAUAUAUUGAACCGCAUGGUUCAAUAGUGAAAGACGGUUUUGCUGUCACUUAUAGAUAGAUCCGCGCCGCAUUAGCUAGUUGGUAAGGUAACGGCUUACCAAGGCGACGAUGCGUAGCCGACCUGAGAGGGUGAUCGGCCACACUGGAACGGAGACACGGUCCAGACUCCUACGGGAGGCAGCAGUAGGGAAUCUUCCGCAAUGGGCGAAAGCCUGACGGAGCAACGCCGCGUGAGUGAUGAAGGUCUUCGGAUCGUAAAACUCUGUUAUUAGGGAAGAACAAAUGUGUAAGUAACUAUGCACGUCUUGACGGUACCUAAUCAGAAAGCCACGGCUAACUACGUG
rnacentral:rRNA from 1 species